rnacentral:rRNA from 1 species
ACGAACGCUGGCGGCGUGGAUAAGACAUGCAAGUCGAACGGGAGAAUUGCUAGCUUGCUAAUAAUUCUCUAGUGGCGCACGGGUGAGUAACACGUGAGUAACCUGCCUCUUAGUGGGGGAUAGCCCUGGGAAACCGGGAUUAAUACCGCAUACGAUUGAAAGAUCAAAGCAGCAAUGCGCUAGGAGAUGGGCUCGCGGCCUAUUAGUUAGUUGGUGAGGUGACGGCGCACCAAGGCGAUGAAGGGUAGCCGGUCUGAAAGGAUGGCCGGCCACACCGGGACCGAGACCCGGUCCAGACACCUACGGGUGGCAGCAGUCGAGAAUCAUUCACAAUGGGGGCAACCCUGAUGGUGCGACGCCGCGUGGGGGAAUGAAGGUCUUCGGAUUGUAAACCCCUGUCAUGUGGGAGCAAAUUAAAAAGAUAGUACCACAAGAGGAAGAGACGGCUAACUCUGUGCCAGCAGCCGCGGUAAUACAGAGGUCUCAAGCGUUGUUCGGAAUCACUGGGCGUAAAGCGUGCGUAGGCUGUUUCGUAAGUCGUGUGUGAAAGGCAGGGGCUCAACCCCUGGAUUGCACAUGAUACUGCGAGACUAGAGUAAUGGAGGGGGAACCGGAAUUCUCGGUGUAGCAGUGAAAUGCGUAGAUAUCGAGAGGAACACUCGUGGCGAAGGCGGGUUCCUGGACAUUAACUGACGCUGAGGCACGAAGGCCAGGGGAGCGAAAGGGAUUAGAUACCCCUGUAGUCCUGGCAGUAAACGGUGCACGCUUGGUGUGCGGGGAAUCGACCCCCUGCGUGCCGGAGCUAACGCGUUAAGCGUGCCGCCUGGGGAGUACGGUCGCAAGAUUAAAACUCAAAGAAAUUGACGGGGACCCGCACAAGCGGUGGAGUAUGUGGCUUAAUUCGAUGCAACGCGAAGAACCUUACCUGGGCUUGACAUGUAAUGAACAACAUGUGAAAGCAUGCGACUCUUCGGAGGCGUUACACAGGUGCUGCAUGGCCGUCGUCAGCUCGUGUCGUGAGAUGUUUGGUUAAGUCCAGCAACGAGCGCAACCCCUGUUGCCAGUUACCAGCACGUCAAGGUGGGGACUCUGGCGAGACUGCCCAGAUCAACUGGGAGGAAGGUGGGGACGACGUCAGGUCAGUAUGGCCCUUAUGCCAGGGCUGCACACGUACUACAAUGCCCAGUACAGAGGGGGCCGAAGCCGCGAGGCGGAGGAAAUCCUGAAAACUGGGCCCAGUUCGGACUGUAGGCUGCAACCCGCCUACACGAAGCCGGAAUCGCUAGUAAUGGCGCAUCAGCUACGGCGCCGUGAAUACGUUCCCGGGUCUUGUACACACGGCCCGUCACAUCAUGGAAGCCGGUCGCACCCGAAGUAUCUGAAGCCAACCGCAAGGAGGCAGGGUCCUAAGGUGAGACUGGUAACUGGGAUG